rfam:Brachypodium distachyon strain Bd21 chromosome 4, whole genome shotgun sequence.
AAAAUACUUCCACCGUCUCAUAUUAAGUGACUUUCUAUUACAUGUAUCUAGACAUUUUUUAGGUAUAGAUACAUCCACAUUUAGACAAAUUUGAGCCAAUUAAUAUGGGACGGAGGGAAUACAAU